rnacentral:lncRNA from 1 species
GCAUGAAAGAAGAGGCAGCCACAGUCCUUGGACCUAAUUCCUCCUUCAGAUCUCCGCUUCUCAGCAUCCCUGCCUGACCAAAGAGAAGAUGAAAUGGUCUCUUCCCUCCAAAAGCAAGCAUUCUCCUGGUGGAUGGGGUGUGGAAACGGAAGUAAUUUCAAGAGAUCCCUACUGCUCAAGGUGACCAGGAAAGACCUCAGUAGCUGGUGAUGUCUGAACUAGGCUUUUGAAGUCAGAGGGCCCCUGAGGUAAGGGGAGCAGCCAAUGUAAGGCAGGGAGAUGGAGCAUAUCCAUCCCCGGGGAUCCAAGGGCUCUUUCCUAGCUGUGACAAGAUAC